rnacentral:rRNA from 1 species
CCCUUAGAUGUUCUGGGCCGCACGCGCGCUACAAUGAUGCAGGCAACGAGUGCCGCUCCUUAGCCGAAAGGCUUGGGGAAUCUUGAAAACUGCAUCGUGCUAGGGAUAGAUGAUUGCAAUCGUGCAUCUUGAACGAGGAAUGCCUUGUAAGCGUGAGUCAUCAACUCGCGCUGAAUACGUCCCUGCCCUUUGUACACACCGCCCGUCGCUCCUACCGAUUGGAUGGUCCGGUGAACUGGUCGGACUGAUGUUUGAAAUUGCGGGUGCAGUUGAUUCACGGGAAGUCUAGUAAACCUUAUCAUCUAGAGGAAGGAGAAGUCGUAACA